rnacentral:rRNA from 1 species
CCUACGGGGGGCAGCAGUGGGGGAUAUUGCACAAUGGGGGAAACCCUGAUGCAGCAACGCCGCGUGAGCGAUGAAGGCCUUCGGGUCGGAAAGCUCUGUCCUAAGGGUAGAAUACUGACGGUAGCUUAGGAGGAAGCCCCGGCUAACUACGUGCCAGCAGCCGCGGGAAUACGUAGGGGGCUAGCGUGAUCCGGAAUUACUGGGCGUAAAGGGUGCGUAGGCGGCGCUUCAAGUCAGAGGUGAAAGGCUACGGCUCAACCGUAGUAAGCCUUUGAAACCGUAGGGAUGGGGUGCAGGAGAGGAGGGUGGAAUUCCCAGUGUAGCGGUGAAAUGCGUAGAUAUUGGGAGGAACACCAGUUGCGAAGGCGGCUCUCUGGACUGUAACUGACGCUGAGGCACGAAAGCGUGGGGAGCGAACAGGAUUAGAUACCCCAGUAGUC